CCAAGACACUGUUUUCAUCCUACUGAUUCCACAUUGACUAAGGUAUUUUUUGGAAGAACCUAGAGCUAAAACAAUAAAAAAUACUGUCCUUUCCUGAAAAUGAGUGUUUAUUAGCCUGAGACUCUAAUACUUUCAGAGACCUAGGUCAUUCCUUUUUUUAUUCAACAUAUUCUAUAUGACAAUUAGUACUGCCAGCCGCUGUUCUAAGCAUCUAAUGAAGAUUAAUUUAAUCCUCAUAUCACCCCGUGAGGGAAACAUUAUUAUCAUUGCCAUCAAUGUUUAGUGUGGUUAUCUUUUUACUGCACAGUGUCACAAAACAGUGGCUUAAAACAACCAUUUAUUAUUAUUUCACAUGGUUCCGUGGUUUGACUGGGAUCAGCCGGGCAGAGCCUCUCACGCAGUUACAGUUAGAUGGUGAUGAGGCUGGAGUCAUCUAAAGGCAUAACCAGGCUGGCAUUAAAGCAGCCACAGUCCACCCAGUUUCAAGGGGGUGAAGGAGUAUACUCUAGUCCUCAGUGGGGGAGUCACAGACACUUAUAGGGAGGGAAGGAAUUGAUGGCAGCCAUCUUCAGAGGUAAGCUACAAUGACAGGUCAUUCCCAAUGAGAAAACCAAGCACAGAGAAGUUAAAUUACUUACCCAAGGCCAUACAACUGGUAUGUGGAUAAACAGAGUUAAUCCUAGGCAGUUGAGUUCCAGAGCCUGCUGGGAGAGGCAAAAGGGAUUGGAGCCCAAUAGCACAGCCCAGACUCACAGCAGAGUCAGGGUGUGACGAGCACAGCCUUAUUCAUAGCAGAGCUGGAGAGUCCUGGAGUCAUCUAUCAGGGAUCAGUGAAAAGGAAGAAAUUCUAAAAAUACUAGGAAACGUCAAGGACUGUCUAAACAAGGCUGUUGUUAUGUUGGGGGUGAAAAUAUGGUCUCAUGUGACCCAAGGCAAGUGGAAGCCUUCAUACUUUCAUUUAUCUUUCCAAUCAGGAAAGAAUGAAAAUGUAAGAGUGUUGGUGGGCGGGGGUGGGUGGGGCAUGUGUGUGUUAUUUUUCCUUAUAAAUAAUUAAAAUCUGGAACCUUUAGUCAGAUACUCAAAGGGGUCAUAUAUGGGAGAAACUAAGGCUUGGACCAGGGAGUUAAAAUCUGCAGUGCAGACCAGCUUCAGAAGGGAUCUUCAAGCUCCUUCGGCAUCGUCUGCUAAAUGUCUGGGUCAUCGAGGACCUUACGCACAUUUGCUCCCUCUAAUGGAAGGACAAGGAAAUGACAUAUCUACUUCAAAAAGGUUAGUCACAUCACAGGAGUAGUGGGUAUUGCCACAAGUAAGCCCAUUCACCUCUGGAGUGGUUGGUUUCUCUCUGGAACUCUAGCAACCUGAGACAGUGGGUAACUUAGGCCCUUUUCAAUGUGUAGCUUCUCAGAACUUCUGGGCCAGAAAGGCAGGUUCCACACACUGAUUUGGACCCGCUCGACAUCUGCGUGAGUGUGGUGAGUGGAAGAGCAUCAGGCCAUGUCCCAGGUCUUUCCAAAUCAGACUCCGUUAUUUCUGACAUUCCUCUUCCUAAAGACCAGAGGUAGGAAUUCAGGGCCGCCAUUUUCAUCGUCUCUCCUCACGAUAGGAAUCAGCCUCCUCUGCGGCUGCUCCCGCUGAACACCACGACAUUCCAGCCGCGGGGAACUGCUCAGGACUCAGUAUCAUUCUCAGACCUAGGCAGCAGGGUUCCGUGCUGGCCCUCCUCCAGAGGUGCCCAGCCGCACGGGGCAAAGAGUCUGCAGGGCCAACAGGGAUGUGCCCACCCC
rnacentral:lncRNA from 1 species